UGUAUGUCCUGGAUGCCCUUUGGACGUCCUAAGGACAUCCUUGUGCUGUCUGGAAAGGGUUUUAUAAAUUAUUUAGAUGGUAUUCAUUUAUGAAUAUGAUUCAUUUAUUCAAAGAUUAUAAAUAUAAGACAAUAUAAAAUAAAUUUGAUACUUCUUCAAGGUACGAACCACCGUACAGACAAAUAACGUGUAAUAGUCACGUAAUGGCUGCGUUCAGUAUACAAAAGAUGCCACGAGACAUCCGUCUCGCCCUGUAGUUAAGA